CCUACGGGAGGCAGCAGUGGGGAAUCUUGCGCAAUGGGCGGAAGCCUGACGCAGCAACGCCGCGUGCGGGAAGAAGGCCUUAGGGUCGUAAACCGCUUUCAGGGGGGACGAAGCUUCCGGGGUUAAUAGCCUACGGGGUGACGGUACUCCCAAAAGAAGGUCCGGCUAACUACGUGCCAGCAGCCGCGGUAAUACGUAGGGACCGAGCGUUGUCCGGAAUCAUUGGGCGUAAAGAGCGUGUAGGCGGCUUGGUAGGUCUCGUGUGAAAUCCCGCGGCUCAACCGCGGAUCCGCACGGGAAACCCCUAAGCUCGAGUCCGGAAGAGGAGAGUGGAAUUCCUGGUGUAGCGGUGAAAUGCGCAGAUAUCAGGAAGAACACCCGUAGCGAAGGCGGCUCUCUGGGACGGUACUGACGCUGAGACGCGAAAGCGUGGGGAGCAAACAGGAUUAGAUACCCUGGUAGUCCACGCCGUAAACGAUGGGCGCUAGGUGUGGGAGGUGUCGACUCCUCCCGUGCCGAAGCUAACGCAUUAAGCGCCCCGCCUGGGGAGUACGGCCGCAAGGCAAAACUCAAAUGAAUUGACGGCNGAGACGNGCGAGACGACGACGAGGAGAGG
rnacentral:rRNA from 1 species